rnacentral:rRNA from 1 species
CAGUCGCCGCGGUAAUACGAAGGGGGCUAGCGUUGUUCGGAUUUACUGGGCGUAAAGGGCGCGUAGGCGGACUGAUAAGUCAGGGGUGAAAUCCCAAGGCUCAACCUUGGAACUGCCUUUGAUACUGUUUGUCUUGAGUUCGAGAGAGGCAAGUGGAACUGCGAGUGUAGAGGUGAAAUUCGUAGAUAUUCGCAAGAACACCAGUGGCGAGGGCGGCUUACUGGCUCGAAACUGACGCUGAGGCGCGAAAGCGUGGGGAGCAAACAGGAUUAGAUACCCCCGUAGUCCCUGUCUCUUAUAC